rnacentral:lncRNA from 1 species
CGGGAGAGGCUGAGCGGCUCCUUCUGUUUCUGGUUCCCACGGCUGGUGAGGAGCGGAGGAUGCUCACAGCAGCUCACAUAGAGCCUCUGCUGGUCCCUGGGCUGAGAUGCUGGGAUUCUCCCUGCCUUCUGCCAUCUGGAGCGUGUCCAGCUCAGCAUGAAAGGGCCAUGUAAGAAAUAUUCUGCACUAAAAAGCUCCAGGGUGCAGAGUAAUUUGCUUCUGAUUAAGUAAAAUGUCAUAGGUCACCGUGUGACCAUUUUUAAUAUUGAAUCUUUUCUGAGUGCCCUCACUCCCACAACCUAUUAAUUGCCAAUUUUCUCCUCUGCCUCCAGUUCUAAUUUGCAUCGGAAGCAAGGCCACUUAGUCCCCACACCGCCCCCCUUCCCUUUUUCCUUCUAUCCACAACUCGUGAGCUUCUGCUAUGAGUCCUCAAUGUCCUAGGCCCAGGGAGCCUCCUAGAGCUUCCUGCCCAGGAAAGGUGACAGAAGAUGGAGAUAAAGAUGUGAUGCCUGCCUGCUCUUGAGGGUCUGGCUCCAUCAUGGGACCCUGAGGGUGGAGAACAAGCCUGGGCCAGCCUGCUGGAGGCCGAAAGACCCUGUGGAGCUGAGCUGACUCUGCCCCUCUGUCUUUGCUAUGACCAGCACAGCCAACCCACAGCUGACCCCUGGGCUGACCACAGUUGCACGAGCAAGCCCAGCCCAAAUCAGAAGGUUGUGCAGCUGCAGCCUUGUAAACCCCUUUGACUGGCAUGAAGGAGCUUUGAUGCUUAUGUGGAAACAUUCCUGGCUGAGACCUGAGACCUGUCUUUUCUUUGCACCAGACAAGAGAGACCUCCGAUCUCCUUUUCACAGUACCUCGUGCACCGAGCAUAAGGCCUGGAGCAUGGCAGGAGGUCUGCUGCAGGUAGGAAUUGAAUGGCUGAAUGAAGACCACGCAGAUGUGGAUGCUCAUUGUUCCCAUCUCCUCCUCUGGAAGCCAUGUGUCUCCCUCUAAGCCAGGCUGGUCACUCCUUCCUUCAGACUUCACUGUCCCCCCACUUUCCUCCAUCACAAUUCAUCUCAUCGUGACCUCAGGAUUUUUCUGGAAACACAACUAUUGUCCCAUCAAUCCUCUCCCUGUCCUUUGGCCCCACUGAAAACUCUUGAAUGGGAUGUUGCUAUUCUUGGGACAAAGAUCCAAAUCCCUAAGGUGGCAUCUGAGGCCCCUUAGAUGUCUGGCCCUCACCUCUCCACCCCCAGCCUCGUUUCACAGCCCCUACUGACCCCCUGCCCUCCAACCACACAGGCCUUGGAGUUCUUCAUGGUUGCUGACAGCUGGCCAUCAUGACAGGGCCUCUGCACAUGCUGUUCCCUGGCUGAAACCCUCUCCCUUCCCCACCCUCACUUGCCAACUCCUAUUCUCCUUUCAGAUCCCAGUUCAGCCAUUCCAGUCCUCAGGUAAGGCUUCCUUGGUCUCCUUCAAAUCUCCCCACUUCUUCACUGCAUGUGUAAGCUCACACUUCUUUGUGUGACGUAUUGAUUAGUGUCUGUCUCUCCCUCUAGACUGUGAGCCUUAUCAGGCAGGGACCAGUAUGGUUUUGCUUAAUUUCCCUAACACAGUGGCUGUCCCACUGUAGGUGCUCAACAAAAGUGUCAAUAAAUAAGCGGAUGCUGUCCCUGCAGGGUUUUCUCUGAUUCGUGUGCUUCUCUCCCAAGACAGGCUUCCCCCAAGGGCUGGAAUCUGCCUCAGCCAUC